GCUGUUGAUAAUAAGGAGAUAAACAAUCUAGACAAAUAUUGAAUAUUCAAGAUUCGGUCAUGGAAAAUAAUAGCUGCGAUAGAAUCAGGGGCGACGAUGAUAAUGCGAAUUGUACACAGUAAAUUAGCUUUUGGAGAUAAGAAUUGAUUUAUUAUAGUGCGAAAGUUUCCAGUGUUGCACUCUAGGAUUGCCCAACAUUCGUUAGAAUCUCUUAAAAAACCACACAACAAACUCCCGAGGUUGUUAUAAGUCAAACCCAACAGCAAACAAUGGAAAUAGUACCAUGUGCCAAUAGGCGGGCGCCAGACAGGGAUUGUCCACAUCCUGAAUAAUCACUGAAGGGAUGGGCAUGGUCCGGACAGUGCCAAAAGUGACGCAAGAAAGGUGCCUCUUAACGUGGUAAAAGGGUGCAACUUACUGCGCCUACAUAGAAUUGUGCUGGUCUGUAUGCCGCAUUACGGAGACCUUGGUAGCCCUGUUCCAGUUCGGUGUAGGACAUGAUACCAGGGGGACAUGCUAGGCCUGCCACACGCCCUUUCCUUCAAUUUAUUGCGUUUGGAUGCCAAAGCUGUUGAGCAGGUCAAGGUACGAGUAUUGAUUGCCAAGUUUUCGCAAAACCAGACGACAUUCAAGCGGCAGCAACUGUGUUUGAUCCAGAACUAUGCGGCGCUUAGUAUAGCAGCACUUCGGCGGAAAAUAGCUAUUUUUUUUUAAAUAUUUUGGAUAAAUUCAAUCGCGAAUCAAAUCCAAUAUUGUGGUUAGUGUCUUUAUUAGAGGUUAGAGGUUAGAGCUGACACUUGGAAGUCCACAACGUUGCCAAUCAGUUUUAAUAUCAACUGAAUUUUUCCAACCACCGCAAAUCUACAAAGUGUGUUUGUGCGGUUGUUUGAUUUUCGGUUAGUGGACGGUAAACGCUCUUUAAUUUGAAUCGAUAUAUUUAAUAGAGAGUUAUUGGACAUGCUAAA